AUUGAACGCUGGCGGAAUGCUUUACACAUGCAAGUCGAACGGCAGCACGGGGGCAACCCUGGUGGCGAGUGGCGAACGGGUGAGUAAUACAUCAGAACGUGCCCAGUCGUGGGGGAUAACGUAGCGAAAGUUACGCUAAUACCGCAUACGAUCUACGGAUGAAAGCGGGGGACCGUAAGGCCUCGCGCGAUUGGAGCGGCCGAUGUCAGAUUAGGUAGUUGGUGAGGUAAAGGCUCACCAAGCCGACGAUCUGUAGCUGGUCUGAGAGGACGACCAGCCACACUGGGACUGAGACACGGCCCAGACUCCUACGGGAGGCAGCAGUGGGGAAGUUUGGACAAUGGGCGCAAGCCUGAUCCAGCCAUUCCGCGUGCAGGACGAAGGCCUUCGGGUUGUAAACUGCUUUUGUACGGAACGAAAAGGCUCUGGUUAAUACCUGGGGCUCAUGACGGUACCGUAAGAAUAAGCACCGGCUAACUACGUGCCAGCCGCCGCAGUAA
rnacentral:rRNA from 1 species